GAUACUAGUGAUUUUUAUUGACCCUAAAACCUACUUUCCCUUUAGUUGUAGUUUUUUUUUUUUUUCAACUAAUAAUUGACUGGAUUUUUUUAAAUAAAACAAAAUUAAAUAACAAACGGUCCAAAAAGAAAGAAAACAAAAUAAAAGAAAUUGGCCCAAAAACUUAAAAUUGCCCAAGGAGAAAACACCCUAAAACUUAGUUCAGAAUAAUCUAGAAUAACACAAAAUUCACCGAAAGUUACCCAAUCAGAAAUCACUGAUUCCCAUUCUGUCUAUCAGCCAUCAUUUCUCUCUUUAGGAUGGUUUCAGUUCUCAAGGAAAGCUUUAUCACAAAAAACCUAUUCAUCUACUUUAUUGAGGAUUUCCUUCCUUAUUUCCUCUUCUCCAGCCGUUCUCAAUCCGGUUCUCACACUCUAUCGGCAUAUCCAGGGACGCUUUUAACUAGCCACUGCAUUUUGAUUCCUAUUUGGACUGCUUUUCGACAUGCGAGCGCUUCAGCAGCGAAGGUCGAUGCCACCUCUUGAUGAAUUUCUGAACAAGAUAAGAGGACAGUCACUUCAUUGGUUCUGGCCACAAUCCUCGAAGCCGAUUGGAAAUGACGCCCAUCAUAUGCUCCAUCAAAAUUGACUUUUACGAACUCACCAGAUGGGUAGCUCCAUUUUCUAAACCCCUUUAAAACAAUAGGAAUUCUUUUUUUAACGCCAUUUAAUUCGGUAAUAUAAUUAUUGAAAAAACUUGUUAUUUCCUGACCAGUGCUAUUUUUCUUAUCAUGCAUUCUAGCAUAUAGUGCACAGCAAAAAAGUCGGCAUUGAAAAGGGGGCUAUUGAACAAAAACCCAAGUAAGCCACUAUAAAAAAUCCAGAUUAGAAUCCAUUACAAUAGUUGGGAUUGAUAAUGCUGUUCAAACUUCCACUGAAAUAAGGCAUUCGUGAAAGAGGUGAUAAAUUGUUUCUGCUCCUUCUCUACAUCAGGGGUAAGUUGUAAUGUCAACUAGCUUCCUGUGCUGCAUGUUAACCCAUGCAGGAAAAUAAUUCCAUGAUAUUCUCCAGAUUGUAAUCUUGAUUUUAGUAGGAAGAUUUUGGAGCCAAAGUUUUUUUGUAGAAAUUCCUGUAGUCGGUUUGUAAAGUAUAAGCUCUAGAGUUUUCACCAGAA